rnacentral:rRNA from 1 species
GAUGAACGCUGGCGGCGUGCCUAAUACAUGCCAGUCGAGCGAACAGACGAGGAGCUUGCUCCUCUGACGUUAGCGGCGGACGGGUGAGUAACACGUGGAUAACCUACCUAUAAGACUGGGAUAACUUCGGGAAACCGGAGCUAAUACCGGAUAAUAUAUUGAACCGCAUGGUUCAAUAGUGAAAGACGGUUUUGCUGUCUCUUAUAGAUGGAUCCGCGCCGCAUUAGCUAGUUGGUAAGGUAACGGCUUACCAAGGCAACGAUGCGUAGCCGACCUGAGAGGGUGAUCGGCCACACUGGAACUGAGACACGGUCCAGACUCCUACGGGAGGCAGCAGUAGGGAAUCUUCCGCAAUGGGCGAAAGCCUGACGGAGCAACGCCGCGUGAGUGAUGAAGGUCUUCGGAUCGUAAAACUCUGUUAUUAGGGAAGAACAAAUGUGUAAGUAACUAUGCACGUCUUGACGGUACCUAAUCAGAAAGCCACGGCUAACUACGUG